rnacentral:lncRNA from 1 species
UUUUCGUCAGCUUGUAUUGAGUUGAUCCAAUUUGAUUCGGCUCUUGAUCCGAACAUGAAAGUUACCUCGUUUUACGUCCCAAACAUCGUUCCAUCAAUGGUUUCUUGAACGAGCAAUUCCAUCGCUUGUUUCACUUGCUUUGCACUUGAUCGCGUCAUCGGUCCGCCUUCGAUUCUCAAUGGGUCUUAUCUCGAACUCGUCGUCUUCAAGCUUGAUUCUUGAAUCACGUCACAAGCACAACAACAAACAGGAAAUGUUCCUUUGAGGCAUCGAGCCAAGUUUCCUAUGAGGCUGAAUCUUGGAAAACUAGAAUUGAUGUUUUAUUUCUGGAAAUCAUUCGAAAUACAAGAGCUGAGAAAGGGGAAGUGAAGACUCAUGCGAAGAAGGAGGAGGAAUCGAUUGAA